rnacentral:rRNA from 1 species
UGGGGAAUAUUGCACAAUGGGGGAAACCCUGAUGCCGCGACGCCGCGUGAGCGAAGAAGGCUUUCGAGUCGUAAAGCUCUGUCCUAUGAGAAGAUAAUGACGGUAUCAUAGGAGGAAGCCCUGGCUAAAUACGUGCCAGCAGCCGCGGUAAUACGUAUGGGGCGAGCGUUGUCCGGAAUUAUUGGGCGUAAAGGGUACGUAGGUGGUUUUUUAAGUCAGGUGUCAAAGCGUGGAGCUUAACUCCAUGGAGCACUUGAAACUGAAAGACUUGAGUGAAGGGGAGGAGAGUGGAAUUCCUAGUGUAGCGGUGAAAUGCGUAGAUAUUAGGAGGAAUACCAGUGGCGAAGGAGACUUUCUGGACUUUUACUGACGCUCAGGUACGAAAGCGGGGGGAGCAAACAGG